rnacentral:tRNA from 1 species
GCCUGGGUGGCACAGCGGUUGAGCGUCUGCCUUCGGCUCAGGGCGUGAUCCCAGGCGUUGUGGGAUCGAGCCCCACAUCAGGCU